rnacentral:rRNA from 1 species
AGAGUUUGAUCAUGGCUCAGAGUGAACGCUGGCGGCGUGCUUAACACAUGCAAGUCGAACGGGGUAGCAAUACCUAGUGGCGCACGGGUGAGUAAUGCAUAGGUUACCUGCCUCCAUAGUCUGGGACAACAGUUGGAAACGACUGCUAAUACCGGAUAUUCCCUACGGGGGAAAGAUUUAUUGCUAUGAGAUGGGCCUAUGUCCUAUCAGCUUGUUGGUGAGGUAAUGGCUCACCAAGGCUAUGACGGGUAGCUGGUCUGAGAGGAUGAUCAGCCACACUGGAACUGAGACACGGUCCAGACUCCUACGGGAGGCAGCAGUGGGGAAUAUUGCACAAUGGGGGAAACCCUGAUGCAGCAACGCCGCGUGGAGGAUGACGCAUUUCGGUGUG